GACAGAGGGGGCAAGCGUUGCUCGGAAUCACUGGGCGUAAAGGGCGCGUAGGCGGGAUGGCAAGUCGGUCGUGAAAUCCUUCGGCUCAACCGAAGAACGUCGGCCGAUACUGCCGUUCUUGAGGGAUGCAGAGGAGAUUGGAAUUCCCGGUGUAGCGGUGAAAUGUGUAGAGAUCGGGAGGAACACCGGUGGCGAAGGCGGGUCUCUGGGACGGUACUGACGCUGAGACGCGAAAGCGUGGGGAGCGAACAGG
rnacentral:rRNA from 1 species